AUCAAAAGGGGCAAUCUUUGAGCAUUUGUAUCAACUGCCGAGGAUCUCAAGUUCACAUGGAGUGCACUAUGAUCAAGUGCAUUCUGGUGCUAUGAUGAUUGUGACAGAAGAUAUUAGCUGCAGAAGCAAUCGCUAUGUCUCAACUCCAAUAUUAAAAAUCAGUGCACCUAAAUUACGACACAAUUUUUCUCAUCUGGAACUGCGCUUAUAAGGUGUUUGGUCUGAAAGCUACACUCCUACAAUGUGGUAUAAAAGGUUCAUGAAAUCAUCAGGAUUUUGACCUCCAUAGGAAAUCUGCAAGGGGAACAACAACAAAGGAAACUGGUGUAAGAUUGAGUACUAAGACUUGAAGAUGGGCUACCAUCAAGAUUAUGUCUUGACAAUCAAGUAUAAUGAUUUUUUUUACCGAACUCACAGAAGUAGAUUGUGUAUCCCAUCCAGCGUUCAACCUAAUGGACAUCGAGGGAACCACUUUGAGUAGGCAAUUGUUUGUGUGGAGGAAAAUGCAUGGUACUACAGCUAACCUUCCUCUGGUCCAGAUGAAAUCAAGGCAACUGGGUCUUUUAUCUUCAAACAUCAAUUUGUUAGUUUUUCCUGGCUUCAGUGCAUCCCCUCAUAUUACUGUGUUUAAACUACAUCACAAUGUGCUAAUUUUUCUAAAAAAGUUAGUGUAUUAAUUAAGUAAAACUUAUUUGAAGUAGAUGUAGCACGACCUUUAGGAUUUUGCACGCAGACCACACCAAUUUCGAGUAGUCUACUUCUACAUAUCUGCUCACCAAAUAGCUGCAUGAUUAUUAUGAACGUGGUAAACUUUGAAGCUAUUUUCUUUAUUAGCCCUAAAAGAAACUAAACUAUUUGUGUGGGGCCAGAGAAGCAUACUUUCAAUACAAACUGCAAUUGCUUGGGCAAGAGAAAUCAACUCAAUACUGCAAUUUUCCAUAUGAAGUAGUAAGAGGAGGCAUACUAUUGUAAACCGAUGUAGGCUGAAGGCUAGCUGCAUCUUUGGCGUGUGGUCAAACCCGGCAAGCUACAACUAUGUGGAGCAUCCACACUACUGCCACCACAUGCUUGCUAAAACGCUUAAUCUGACCGUCCCUGUACAUUGGCCACAUCUCCGGCGAGCAUGUUUGAUGGCAAGCUCGGGCAACUGCUGUUGUAUUGAGUAUCCAGAUGAUAACUGUCAUGAAAAUCACUACAUGGAUCGAUGUGCCCAUCAUGUCUAGUAGUAGAUGAUGCAUUAUUUGAGCUUGAUAUAGUAUGAUUAUAUCCCAUGCCGUCUUGUUUGCAUCAAAAGUGUGGCCCACUUUCGAGAAGAAUACACCCAACCAUUUUGGUAGUGGGCAU